GGGCGCCGCAGACCCCGGGCCCCGCCCACCUUACCCCGGCGGGCGCCGACAGGCCCGACGUGAGGGGGCGGGGCAGCCGUCACCACAGCCGUCCCCGCCCUCCUCCGGGCUGCCAAUCACAAGAACUCACCUGGACGAGCUCCGGCCUUUCCGGGUUGGCCCAAAGCCGGGCCUGUCACCUCACUGCAGAGCAUGAGCCGGAGGCCCAGGGCUUCCUCUAUGGAUUCUUCAUUUGCCUCCUCAGCCCCGCUCCUCGCGAGACCCCACGGACGUGGGUGGGGAUUGUUUCGCUCAUUCAUUUAUGAGGAACUUUGAGAAGACCCAGGAUUUGAAUUUCAGCGACUGAGGUGGCGGCUGGAGCUCAGGCGGCAGGCAAGGCUGGGAGGCCCAACGCAAGGGGGCAGGGCAGCUGUCACCACAGCCCUCCCCACCCUCCUCCAGGCUGCCAAUCACAAGAACUCACCUGGACAAGCUCCGGCCUUUCCAGGUUGGCCCCAAGCGGAGCCUGUCACCUACUGCAGAGUUGAUGAUGCCAAGUGGCCCAGACAUUCUUGAGCAAAUGACUUCUCUCUGAGCCCAUUUUCUCACCUAUAAAUUGGAAAUCCUGAAAAAAUA